rnacentral:rRNA from 1 species
UUUGAUCCUGGCUCAGGAUGAACGCUAGCGGCAGGCCUAAUACAUGCAAGUCGAGGGGUAAAUAUGUAGCAAUAUAUAUGAGACCGGCGCACGGGUGCGUAACACGUAUGCAACCUACCUUUUACUGGGGAAUAGCUCAGAGAAAUCUGAAUUAAUACCCCAUAUCACUGCAGAAUGGCAUCAUUCAGCAGUUAAAGCUCCGGCGGUAAAAGAUGGGCAUGCGGAACAUUAGCUAGUUGGUGAGGUAAUGGCUCACCAAGGCUACGAUGUUUAGGGGGUCUGAGAGGAUGAUCCCCCACACUGGUACUGAGACACGGACCAGACUCCUACGGGAGGCAGCAGUAGGGAAUAUUGGGCAAUGGACGAAAGUCUGACCCAGCCAUGCCGCGUGCAGGAUGAAUGUCCUAUGGAUUGUAAACUGCUUUUAUAUGGGAAGAAACCCCUGGAUGCGUCCGGGGCUGACGGUACCAUUUGAAUAAGGAUCGGCUAACUUCGUGCCAGCAGCCGCGGUAAGACGAAGGAUUCAAGCGUUGUCCGGAUUUACUGGGUUUAAAGGGUGCGUAGGCGGAACUUUAAGUCAGUGGUGAAAGCUCUCGGCUCAACCGAGAAAUUGCCAUUGAAACUGAUUUUCUUGAAUACAGUGGAGGUAGAUGGAAUAUAACAUGUAGCGGUGAAAUGCUUAGAUAUGUUAUAGAACACCGAUUGCGAAGGCAGUCUGCUACACUGUCAUUGACGCUGAGGCACGAAAGCGUGGGGAGCGAACAGGAUUAGAUACCCUGGUAGUCCACGCCCUAAACGUUGAUUACUCGCUGUUGGCGAUACACUGUCAGCGGCUAAGCGAAAGCGUUAAGUAAUCCACCUGGGAAGUACGUCCGCAAGGAUGAACUCAAAGAAUUGACGGGGGCCCGCACAAGCGUGGAGCAUGUGGUUUCAUU